UCAAUUGGUGCGGGCGCCUUUGGAGUCCCAAAUUCCACCUCAAUUGGCUAUUGCACCUUUGCAGGAAGUGCCUCGAACUCAAAUGGCACAGAUAUAUUCACCACAUUGUCCUCAAAUGGUUGGACUUGUACAACAAUAGGAUUAAGAGUGACCAUUGAUUUCUUGGGCUCAUCUCCCUCAGAUAUCAAACCAAUCGACCCUUCGGGUCCAAAUCGUCUUCUACCUCAAUCAUGUGGACGCUUCCACCUUUAUGGUCUGGCAGAGUGUUGUUACGAACAUUAGGAGCAUGCUCCUUGGUUAAGAUGACCUUGUUGUCAAUUAUGGUCUGUAUUUUGUCCUUCAAUGAGCGGCACUCGUCAAACAAGAGCAAACUUGUAAACAAGUCGGACAAGGGCCUGGAAGGUGAUUAGGACACCAACAGACCUUUGUCAAGACUUAAACACAUAAGAAAGGGAAAAGGGAGUGGGAUCAUUUUGAGUAUAGGCAAUUAAGCCUUGGUUCUAGAUUAGAAGUGGCAAUGAGAUGUCAUUCUCAUCCAAAACAAACUCAUAAGCAAACAGGGAUUAAAAGGGAAGGGGAAAUCACAUAGGAUUUAGCAGACAAGAUUAAGUUGAAAAGACUAGGAGAAAAUAAAGCAUAGUAAUGGAUAAUACGUAAGCAAAAAGGGAUUAAAAGGGGAAGGGAACUCAAACAACAUUAAAUUGAAAGACUAAGAGGAAAUAAAGCAUAGUGAUGAACAAUACACAAGCAGAAGAAAGGAAUUGAACAUGCUAAGGUACUGAAUAUAAACAACCAAAGGGAAAAGGAAAUGGAUAAGCGUGCAGGAACACAAACAGGUAAGAGACAAGGGAAAAAAGUUGAGCAUACUGAAAUAAUGAAACACACAAGGGAAUGAGGGAGAGGGAUUAAGAAGGUUAUAAGUUAAACUAAGUGCACAAAACAAAUGAGGGAAUCAGGGAAAGGGAAUAAACAAUUUAGAGCUUUAAACUGAAACAUAACAACAUGGGGGAAGGGAGAGGGAGUUAAGUAUGCCAUAACUCAAAUGAAGUACUAAAAGAAGCAAACAAGGGGGAAAGGAAAAGAGAUUACAUGCUGAAUACUGAAAGUGUAACAGGCAAAGACAAGUUGAAAGUAAACAAGUAGUUGAAAGACUGGUAAUUCAGAUUAGAACCUACCAUUUGCACUUGAAUGACAAAAGUAAAUAGAAAUUCUAUAAUUAUCCUUGGCUUUUAACCGGCUAGCCUUUAGCUGAGAGAGAAAGUAGAAAAGAAGAGAGAAACAGAGAAUCUUUUGUGAGUAAAGAGUACAGAGAACUUGAGAAUGUGUGUUUUAAGUGAUAAAAGAGAGAACCUAUUUAUAGCUGAAAGAGAAGCAACAAUAAGGCUAGGAAAAUAUUUAGAAAAUCAAUUAGUAUCAAUUAGGAGAAGGGAAU
rnacentral:lncRNA from 1 species